CAAAAAAAAACCGAUUUAAAGAGUGAAUUUCGAUGAGCGCCGCUAGCCGCGGCCCAAAAACUUAGAAAUUUAAUCUUUGGCGGUGUUCGUGCAAGGGCGAUGUGGAAACUAAAAAUUAAAAGUGGAUGGUAAACCCAAAAAUCGACUGCAAGAGGUCAGUGCAGAUGAAAUAGGACGCCUAAUCCAAGCUGUUGCCCAUUAUUGUGAGAUUUCACUGACAGGACGUUGAAGUGCUGGAAGCGAUCCACUAAAAAAUCCCAGUGGGAAGGAACAUGCCGAGUGGGACUUCGCUCUCUGCAUGGGCAUCCUGCCGGGCGUGUCCUCGCAAGGAAACAGAACCACCAGUAAUGGUGCAUCAGCGUGCCAACCCCGGCGACGCCCAGCUGAUCCAAUAAAGGGUCUGAAGAGAAGCGGAUUUAAAAAAAUAAAUGAUCAAAACAAAUUUAAGUUAAUAUAUGUUGUUAUAAUUCAAAUUUGUAAAAUUGAGCGGAACCCUUUCUGCCCAAUAGCAAUAUAGCCCGUAAAGCCAUACGAACAAAUAGGCGGAGAACUGUAAAAGAGAUACAUUUUUUUUCUCAAUCAAAAAAAUUCAAACAAAGAAACUUAAAAAUUUUACAAAAAAGAAGAAAGACCUAAAAAUAAAAAAUGAAAUACUAAUGAAUAGUAAUAGCGUAAGUAAAUUCGAUGGAAGUAAUGAGAUGUUAUAUAAACACAAUGGGAUUGAUCGAUACGAAAACAGUGGACUCCUCUGUAAACGUGAUUAAUAAAAUAGAAUUGACAAAUAUAUUGUUAUUGAUAAUUGUUAUAUGCGGAUAUAUGCUUUAUAAAGCAUACCUAUUACACAAUAGGUGUGUAAAAAAAGGGCCCUAAGCCAAGCAAACGAUCUAGAUAAGAUUUAAUUGCAUACGUACAAAAUUAUGAUAAUUAUAAUUAAACUAUAUGUUCAAAAAUCUUGAAGAAAAUAUAUAUAAAUUGAAAACAAAACUUUUUCAAAAUAAUGGUCUAAGUAAUGAAAAAUGAAUUGAUUGUCUAAGAAACAAAUUUUCUGAAUAAUGAAAUUAAUAAAAUAAAAAUAAAGAUUAUAAGUAAAAAUUAAAAAAAAAACAUGAUCGUAAAAGAACACAAAAAAAAAUGAGAACUAGAUUUUGAGAAUAAAGAAUAGGGUAUUUUUGAUAAAUCAAAAGAUAACAGAGCCACUGUAAUUUCCUAUGCAAAUAGAUGGAUAGGUACGAAUGGAAAAAUAGGUGAACAAUAAACACAAAAGUCGCUAAAAAUAUUUUAAUUAUGCUAACAAAUAAAGCGAUAAGGGAAACCUUUGGAAAGGUCCCCGAAUUUUCUGAGUGAGUGCAAGCCAUACUUCAAUCGCACAACGCACCAAUGUCAAACAAUGAACUCGAAAAUGAAUACAUUGAAAGAUGUAACCUAAAAUUAAUUAUUCAGAGUACAGUACCAAAUUGUAAAAUUUUUUCGGAAGUUAAUAAAGAUCCUUUUCUUGGUAAUGUAAUAGUGAUAAAAGCAGCACGGAAUGGAAAGAAAUGAAGGAUAGGCUGACAGAAGUAAAAUAUACGUUUGACAAAUCCUUUAAAUGCCUAAAUAAAAACAUAAAUAAACAAGAAGGCACCAUAAACAAACACGCUAAAAUACUAGUAGAAUGCUUUAAUGAAGCGCAAACGCUAGUACAUAAUAACAGAGAAAAACUAAACCAGUCACACUGGUCAUAUGCCUCAAAAUUAUUCCUACGGAUAAGAUCCAAUCUUAUUUCUGUCAAAGAAAAAUACGAUUUGGAUAUAUCUAUUCCCACUGUUCUUAAUACCCCACUGACGGCUGAACCUAGUCAGCAACUAGAGUCCGAUACCGAUACUACUGAAAAAAUAGAUUCAGAAGAAGAAGAAGAAAAUAUAGACGAGAAAAAUAUAAACGAUUUAACAAUUCCGUAAUAACAUUACCUGACGCAGAAGAAGAAAAUUGGUUAGAAUCUGAAUCUAAUUGUAGUACUGUUGAGGAUAAACCAGUCAUAAUACCGGAACAAGAAAAAAUGGCUAUCACACCAAUUAAAUUCCUAAAAUUAUCCUUAUCACUCUUACCAGAGUUUGAUGGUAAGGCAGAAUAUGUAAAAAGUUUCUUAGAUUCCUUAAAUUUGGUAAACUCCCUCAAGUAAUCACAUGAAGCUUUAGCAGUUAAUCCGAUCAAGACUAAGCUAAAAGGCCCUGCAAGAAACUUAAUAGACAAUGAGAAUUCAAUCUCAGAAAUAAUAAAGAAACUAAAAAACAAAGUUAAAAAUCAAAAUCAAUAUGUUCAAGAUGUAGAGAAAUUGGCAAAGGCACUAGAAGGAGCCUACAUAAAUGACGGACUGUCCACAGAAUUAGCCACUCAGUACAGCAAAACACAUGCCAUCAAUGGAUAAGAUUAAACUUAUCAUGGAGGCUGGCACAUUCAACACAUUGGAUGUUGCCAUGUCCAAAUUCGUAAACAGUUGUACAGAUGCAACAGGCCAAUCAAACACGAUCCUGUUUUACAAUAGAAGUAAUCGUGGAAAUUACCGCGGAAGAGGUAAUUUCCUCUCUUAUAACAACAAUAAUAGUAACCGUGGUUACUAUAACAAUAAUAGAGGACGAGGCUAAAAUAGAGGAAGUUAUAGAGGAAUUAGCCACCAAAAUAGGGGUUAUUACUAUAACAAUAAUAAUAACAAUAAUGUUAGAGUAGCCCAUAACGUUUCGGGAAACUCCCAACAACCUUUAGAUACCCAGCAAUAGGAACCACAAAAAUUCACACAAUCAAUCUCAGCCAAAAUAUAUUUGUAACUUUCAAAAAUGUCGCAACCGGAAAAGAACUUGUAUUUUUAGUAGACACUGGUGCAGACAUAUCUAUACUCAAAGAAAAUUCAGAUGUUUUUCCUAACAUUCAAUCCGACUAUGUAAUAAACAUACAAGGAAUUAGUCAAGAAAUUUCAAAAUCUUUAGGACAAAUAUCCAUUGAGAUACAGACUACUAAAUAUAUAAUCCCACAUAAUUUUCAUAUUGUAAAUUUACAAUUCGCCAUUCCCUGUGAUGGAAUAUUAGGAAUCGACUUUAUCAAAAAAUACAACUGUCAAUUAGACUUCAAGCCAUCCGAAGAUUGGCUUAUAAAUGAAAUGCAUUCAUAAUACUACUCAACACAACAAAUACAGAUAAAGUAGUCAGCAUUAAUAAAUUCAAUUAUGAAUCACUUUCGAACUACGAAGUAGUUUAAUCAAGCAAAGAAAAUAGAGAAAAGUCUGUAUUAUCUUAACUUUCCAAAAAAAAAACAAAAUCUGACAUUGAAGGACGAAGAACCGGUUCAAAUUGAAAUUCAAGCCCAGGUACAAAAAUGAAUAAAAGAUAAAAUUGUGGAACCAUCUGUAUCUGCAAUAACAGCCCACUCUUAUUAGUUCCGAAAAAGUCGAUCCCGGGCUCAGAAAAAAAGGAAAUGGCGAUUAGUAAUUGACUAUCGUCAGAUCAAUAAAAAACUAUUGUCUGAUAAGUACCCUCUACCUAGAAUUGAUGAAAUUUAAGACCAACUAGGUAGAGCAAAAUAUUUCUCAUGUCUCGACUUAAUGUCAGGUUUUCACCAAAUCGAGCUUGAAAAAAGCUCUAGAGUUAUAACGUCCUUCUCGACAAGCAAUGGUUCGUAUCGCUUCACGCGAUUACCAUUCGGCUUAAAAAUAGCGCCAAACUCUUUUCAGAGAAUGAUGACUAUACCAUUCUCUGGACUAGAUCCUUCUAAAGCAUUCCUUUACACGGGUGAUCUUAUAGUCAUUGGUUGUUCCGAAAAACAAAAAACGACGUCAUAAAAAAUUAUCCAACCCCACACGAUGCGGACAGCGUUAGAAGAUUUGUUGCAUUCUGCAAUUAUUACAGAUGUUUUAUUAAAAACUUUGCCGACUAUUCUCGUCACAUAACUAAGUUAUGCAAAAAAAAUUUAAAAUUUGAAUGGACAGCUGACUGACAGCAUGCGUUCGAACAUCUUAAAUCGGCUUUAAUAGAACCAACAUUGUUACAAUACCCAGAUUUCAGUAAAGAAUUUUACAUAAUAACAGAUACUAGUAAGCAAGCUUGUGGAGCAGUUUUAACUCAAAACAAAAAUGGACUUCAACUUCCAGUUGCAUACGCAUCAAGAUCGUUUACAAGGGGUGAAAGUAACAAAAGUACAACGGAACAAGAACUUACAGCAAUUCAUUGGGUAAUAACACACUUCAGACCAUAUAUUUAUGGUAGACACUUCACUGUCAAAACAGAUCACAGACCACUUACGUAGCUAUUUUCCAUGAUAAACCCGAGUUCCAAACUCACGAUAAGGCUUGAAUUAGAAGAGUACGACUUCACUGUAGAGUAUCUAAAGGGAAAAGUUAAUUACGUAGCAGAUGCGUUAUCGUGAAUAACCACCUAAGCAGUGGCGGAUCUAGGGUUGCUGGCGCCCGGGGCAAAGCGAAAAAUUCCGCCCCCUCCCUAUUUGCUGUACGAAUAACAUUAGGAGUAUUUAAAGUGUAAAUAGGUUAUUAAUUAUUAAAAGCUUAUAUGUUUGAAGAAUUGUAUUUCAUAUCGAUUCUUUUGCCAGUUACAACGGAAAAAACAUUAUUAUUUGUGUUUUUGCAAGACAAAAAAAUAUUACUUUUAGAAUAUAACUUUUCUGGCCUUGAUUGCCGCAAAUUCAGCAAUAAUAUCAUUGUAGUCGAGUGAUGCUGCUACUUCAUUUUCGAUAGAUAGUAUAGCUAAAUUUGACAGCCUGUCUUGGUUCAUGGUUGUGCGGAGAUAAGAUUUUAUCAAUUUCAGUUUACUGAAUGAUCGCUCACACGAAGCCACGGACAAUGGUAGAGUCAACAAAAUUUUCAAUGCCGUCACAAGUGUUUUGUACGCCUCUAUCCCCAACGAUGAAAUAUACAAUAGUAUUCCUUUUGGAGUGAGAUCAAGACUUUCUCCCUUCUUAUUGGCCCUUUUCAGAAGAAAAAUGAAAUCUUUGAUAUCGUGAAACAAUUCCGUACCAUUUAAAUCAUUAGAAUAAAUUUCAGCUAAUGAUUUGCAUUUAUCGUUAACUUCCAAUAGUUUUCCAUUCAAAACUUCUUUAUCGUCAUCAAGAUAUUCUUUGAAGUUGAAGAAAAAUCCGAAGCGCUCAUUCAGCACUCUCAAGCUAGCAAAACGAGUAGAAACUUCGAUUGAAAGGCUGUCCAAAAUGUCAACUAAAAAGCGUCUUGUUUCUUCGUAGGUAUCGAGCGCAGCGUCAUCAGCAAGUUCACCUGGCAUCUUACGUUUCUUGAUUCUCCUCUUCGAUAUCGUUACGCCCAUUUCUUCACACAGUUUUUUAGCUUUCAAUAUGACUGUGUCGCAAAGACUAACUCUCCACUCUUUUAUGUGGUCUGACAAUGUCUCAAGUAAUUUGGGGAGACAUGCUCUCUAAAAGAUUUGCCAAAGACUGGUAGAAAAAAAGGUCCAGUCGGACUCGAUUUAGCGCCUCUUAGAUUUGGCGCCCGGGGCGCUUGCCCCUUUCGCCCCCCCCUAGAUCCGCCACUGCACCUAAGAGCUAAAAGACAUUACCAGAAAAAUAAAUAAAGUCACUAAAAGAUAUCAAAGUAGACAGAAAUCCUGCGCAGGAGAAAAAGAAAUAGAGUUGCCUAGGCAAUCUAUAGAAAAAGCUUCAAAGCCCAACGUAUACGGAGUCAUCAAUAAUGACGAAGUACGUAAAGUAGUGACCUUGCACGUAAGUAAUAUGACCUGUCUCUUGGACAUGGAAAACAAAUAACUGCAAGAUAUAAUGUUAGCGAUUUAUUUACCAAUGGAAUUCUUGACUUAGGUCAGUUCUUCCAAAGGCUUGAAAUGAAACCAGCCAACUAAAAGUGGCACCGUGGGAAAAUAUCUUUGAAAAGUUUCAAUAGAUAAAUUUAAAAAAAUGGGCGAUAAGACACUGAAAUCAUUGAGUGUAGCGCUACUCAACCCAUGAAAUAAAACCAGCCAACUAAAAGUGGCACCGUGGGAAAAUAUCUUUGAAAAAGUUUCAAUAGAUGAAUUUAAAAAAAUGGGCGACAAGACACUGAAAUCAUUGAGUGUAGCGCUACUCAACCCGGUGACCGUAAAACAUAUUAAGAUAAAGAAAAAGAAGCUAUACUGUGUACAUUUCACAGCGAUCCAGUACAAGGAGGUCACACUGGCAUAACUAAAACCUUGGCCAAGGUCAUAAGAUAUUAUUAUUGGAAAGGUAUGACCCGAUAUAUUACUAAGUACAUAAGAAAAUGUCAAAAAUGCCAAAAAUCAAAAGUGACAACACAUACAAAGACUCCUAUGACAAUCACAGACAUUCCAAUAAAUGCUUUCGACAGAGUGAUAGUAGACACAAUUGGUCCACUACCAAAAUCAGAUAAUGGUAACGAUUAUGCAGUCACUUUUAUACGUGAUUUACCAAAAUACUUAGUUGCCAUUCCCAUUGACAAUAAAAGUGCAAACACUGUCGCAAAAGCUAUUUUCGAAUCUUUUAAAUUAAGGUACGGUUGAAUGAAAACGUUCAUUUCGGACAUGGGAACCGAAUAUACAAAUUCAAUCAUAAACGACUUGUGCAAAUAUUUAAAAAGUAAAAAUAUAACAUCUACAGCACACCACCACCAGACAGUUGGAACAGUAGAAAGAAGUCACAGAACAUUUAACGAAUACAUACGCUCAUACAUAUCGAUUGAUAAAAAUGAUUGGGACAUAUGGUUAAAAUAUUUCGUAUACUACUUCAACACUACACCCUCAAUGGCCCAUGAUUACUGAUAACGAAAAUAUAAUAAUUUCAAACAAUAAAAAUAAGAAACAAACAGUACAUAAUGAUAGAUUAAAAUCUUUUAUUUCAAAAUCAGUUCAUUACUCUUACAAAUAUUUCAAGUAUGGCCAUACAUAGAAGUAAAACAUAAUUAAAAAAAAAACAUUAAAAAUGAAAAUGCAUAAUUUUAUAUAUAUAUAUAUUCUUAUAUACAUAUUAAUAUACUAAGAAAAUAACUCCAUAUAAUUACGUUAUUUUUCUAAAGGAGGGAGGUGUAGUAUGUUCACAUUCGAAUGCAUACUGCACUGAGUGUUUCGCAUUAAUAUUAUUACAUACACAUUGUAGCACUUGGCCACAAUAUGUAAGCCACAAAUACAAGUCCCAAACAGUUCUUCAAGUGCCCGGUAAUAUGAUCGCCGUUAAGUGCACUGGGACUGGGCUGGGACUGGACUGUGCUGAGUCUGCAUAUUUGACAUGCGUGACCGCUCCGUCACCAAGUGAACAUAAGACCUCCCCUCCGCCGCGGCGACUCUUCGCCAGCAGCUACCAAUACAUACAUCUAUACAUAAGCAUUGAACGCUGCUCUGCCGGCGUCUCUGGCGGCGCAGCUACACUCUCAGUAGCUGUACAAAGAAUUGUAAUAGAGUUAAGAAUUGAUUGAAUAAAGAGAACUCCAAUACAAA